rnacentral:rRNA from 1 species
CAUGUAGGCGGUCUGCUAAGUUCGGAGUGACAGUCACCAGCUUAACUGGUGAAGUGUUUCGAAAACUGGCUGACUUGAGAACGAGAGAGGGACAUGGAAUUCCGGGUGGAGCAGUGAAAUGCGUAGAGAUCCGGAGGAACACCAAAGGCGAAGGCAGUGUCCUGGCUCGUUUCUGACGCUGAGGUGCGAAAGCCAGGGGAGCGAACGGGAUUAGAUACCCCGGUAGUCCUGGCCGUAAACGAUGACCACUAGGCGUGGGAGGGAUCGACCCUUCCGUGCCGUAGUCAACACAUUAAGUGGUCCGCCUGGGGAGUACGGUCGCAAGACUAAA